rnacentral:tRNA from 1 species
CGGGAUGUAGCGUAGCCUGGUUAACGCGCAUGACUGGGGGUCAUGAGACCGGAAGUUCAAAUCUUCUCAUCCCGACCA